AUUGAACGCUGGCGGCAUGCCUUACACAUGCAAGUCGAACGGCAGCGGGGGAGAAGCUUGCUUUUCCUGCCGGCGAGUGGCGAACGGGUGAGUAAUACAUCGGAACGUGCCCUGUAGUGGGGGAUAACUAGUCGAAAGAUUAGCUAAUACCGCAUACGACCUGAGGGUGAAAGGGGGGGACCGCAAGGCCUCAUGCUAUAGGAGCGGCCGAUGUCUGAUUAGCUAGUUGGUGGGGUAAAGGCCUACCAAGGCGACGAUCAGUAGCUGGCCUGGGAGGACGAUCAGCCACACUGGGACUGAGACACGGCCCAGACUCCUACGGGAGGCAGCAGUGGGGAAUUUUGGACAAUGGGCGAAAGCCUGAUCCAGCAAUGCCGCGUGUGUGAAGAAGGCCUUCGGGUUGUAAAGCACUUUUGUCCGGAAAGAAAUGGCUCUGGUUAAUACCUGGGGUCGAUGACGGUACCGGAAGAAUAAGGACCGGCUAACUACGUGCCAGCCGCCGCCGUAA
rnacentral:rRNA from 1 species